UACCAAUUUGGGCUCCUUCCAGACCCGAAAACUGAUGACACAUAUGAAACAGAUUUCACUACUGGACUGGAACUCCACAUAAAAAAGAAGAAGAUCCUCAAAAUCAUCGAAAAGGGUCCUCACCAAAGAAUAGAUGCAAUGUGACUGGCAGGAUAUGAAGGAGGUUGCAGUGCUCACAAGUGAAGAACAUGGCAUCUAAAGAUGACCCUCUCCAUAAAGCUGGGACCCUAAAGAGCCACACUCUCAUAUGGAAGGCAAUUUCCCAGCCCAGGCUCUGACCCUUACAAGUGAAUAACAUUUUUGCAUGCUCUUUUGGCAAAAUUAUCCCACACGGAGCUGUUGGAAUUACCUUGUGAUGAUUUCAAAGAGCAUUGUCUCCUCUACACACUCUUAUCCCAAGGUAAAUUGAUGGAUUUCUAAUGAAUAAA